UAGUAAACACAACCCUUAAAAUAAGUAUUCUUGUGAUUUGUGAAUUUCAACAUGAGAUCGAAAGGCAAAGCCAUAAAAGUUGAAAAGGUGGAGAAAAUUCAUACUCGAACAAGAAACCAAGGCAAACACAACGCGAAUAUUUUCACAAACUAUUCAAGAAAAUCAAGAUUCAAACUAACAAAACCAAAAAAGUAAAAGAAAGAGAAAAAGGAAACUUUACCAAAAACAUAGCAGGCUCGCAAUGAUGUCAACACAAAGCAUUCUAAAUGCAAAAGGGGGCCUCUCAGUUUCAUCAAUGUCAAUAAUAAUACUUCCUCUCUCAUCAUUCCCAUCUCUCUCAUGAAAAAAAAAAUUCAAAAAGAAAGCAAGAAAGGGACAGCACGAAAACCCUUGCACACUUGGUUUCUUUUAAUAUCUGUGAUUCCAUCGCCAAAACCCACAAAUAAUAAUCAUUUCAUAUCAUGAUCAUGCUUCGCCCCCACCCCCCUCCCCUUCAAAACCGCCAUGAUUGUGCCCACAUUCAAUCUGCAGAGAAAUCAAACCCAUCAUCAUUAACUCCGAAGAAAUUAAAAGCAGUCAUACAAAUGGGCUGCUGUCACCCAUUUUCAACGCUGAUGAAGAAGAAAUCAAGACUAUCGCACUCGUCUUUUCGUUUUCGUCGUGAAAAGGAUUUCACUCUUUGAAGCUUUAUUCGCAUCAAUCUUUCUUCUCUUCAUGGGGGAAUUGAGCAUCACGGUCCGAUCAUAUAUAUUAUUGUAACUCUUUUCUUAAUUUCUUGUUUUUUUUUUUGAGGAAAAUUAGGGAUAUUUAUUAGUGCUAGCUACUAUGUAUAUAGAUGUGUGUGGUUUGCGUUUUGUUGUUUGGCGGCGGCUGAGACAAAGGAAUAGAUUUUGAGACGAAGGCGAGAGUUGGAGUCUUUGUGGAGAUGGCGCCGUUUGGAAAUAAUUUGGAAUGAGGGUUUCUAUCAGCGCAAACAGUUCGUAAAUCUGAGUUCGGACGAGGAAGAUAUGGCCGAAACAAGAAAGUCGCGCGCAGAAGUGAAUAGUGCCCGCCGGGAAUUUCUGAAUUUUCGAGAUUUUGCGGGAUUUUCGGAUUUUCUCAGUAUUUUCGAGUUCUACACUGUAUUUAUCUCAUGUGCCUAUAUAUAGGUCCUCUUUUGACCUAUUUAGGGUUCCCAACUUUAUCUUUCAGUCCCCAACUUUAGUUUUUCAGUUGUGUAGCUUUAGAUUUUCAUUGCUUUCCAAUUUUUAGAGCUUGGAUUGGAUUUCCACAUGAUUGAAUAUUCAAGAUCGUUCUUUCAGUUUUAUACAAUUCAGUUUUUUAA